UGGGUUGUAGCUCAGUGGUAGAGCACUCACCUAGCAUGUGUGAGGUCCUGGAUUUGAUCUAUAGCACUGCAG
rnacentral:tRNA from 1 species